GCGCAGCAGUCGCGAAAACUCCACAAUGCGCGAAAGCGCGAUGGGGCUAUCCCGAGUGCCGUCCGCUGAGGAUGGCUUUUCUCCAGUGUAAGGAGCUGGAGGAAUAAGGAGAGGGCGAGACUGGUGUCAGCCGCCGCGGUAAUACCAGCUCUCCGAGUGGUAGGGAUGUUUAUUGGGCCUAAAGCGUCCGUAGCCGGCUCAUCAAGUCCUCCGUUAAAUCCAGCGAUUCAAUCGUUGGGCUGCGGGGGAUACUGUUGGGCUAGGGGACGGGAGAGGCCGACGGUAUUCCCGGAGUAGGGGUGAAAUCUUAUAAUCCUUGUAGGACCACCAGUGGCGAAGGCGUCAGACUGGAACGCGCCUGACGGUGAGGGACGAAAGCCAGGGGAGCGAACCGGAUUAGAUACCCGGGUAGUCC
rnacentral:rRNA from 1 species